GUGUGGGAGGGGGGGGGUUGCAACUGUCUAGACCGUAAAGGUGUAGACAGUUGCAAACACCCGCCCCCCAGAUGACAGACUGUCAUCUGUGCUUAUGCGCUGAAAACACUUCAGAGUACCGGUUUUUCUAGAUGUCCCUGGUUGGGGAGCUUGAGGGUUCUUCACCCGGGACUCGGUCCUACUGGGAGACUUCAGUGGUUCUGUGGAUAAUCUGGAAGGGGCAUGAUUGGGAGGAAUGGCUGACCUGAUCUGAACCCAAGUGGUGUAGUGUUUUCUUGCAUUUGGAAACCACAAUUUGUCUGUAAUGAAUGCCUUAUUUGAACAUAAGGGUGUCCAUAAGCGCAUGUGGCACUAGGACACCCUUGGUUGCAGGUCAACAAUCGAUUUUGUAAACAUAUCAUCAGAUCUUUGGCCAUAUGUUCCAAAUACCCAGGUGAAGAGGGAGGCUGUGCUGGUCAGCUGCUCAGGAUGAACUCAAAACAGCGAGGAAGCCAUUAGGUUGAAAACGGAGUGAUAAUAUUAAGCUUAGUUAGCCUGUGGGUCUUUGGAGGCUGCUGAUCCAGAGCAAAAUAUCUGGUGUAGUUUGAGACCAUAGAAAAAGGCUUUCAGACUUCCUCAAAACGAUCCUGCCUUAAACAUAUGUUACAUAUAUUUAAACAUAAUUACAUGUUUUUGUGUCUUUUCGCUUUUUGUAUUUUAUAAGUCCCGCUAAUGGAUGAACCAGUAGGACUGUCUUAAAAUAAGUUUGAUGUUCAAAGGUGCACUGUGAGGUUAAAUAAAAAGUACAGACAUCUGUGUAAGAAUAUAAGGAAUAAAAGUAAAUAACUCCGAUAAAUAAAUGUUGUAAUUAUGUAUUAAUACCAUAUGUCCCACCUCAUAAUUGCAUCAUAUAGUAAAUAGUUGUAAUUGUUAUUUCUUUAAAUUCGUCUUUUUCAGUGAUUCGCCCAAGAGCCCAGUUUACACAAUAAAAAACACCUUUGUUUUAUUUUUCUCAGGAGGACUUUCCACUCUUCCUCCCCACUCCAGAGAAUACCACUUUGUGAACCAGAAAAUGACCUGGACCGAAGCUCAGAGUUACUGCAGAGAACACUUCACUGACUUGGUCACCAUCUACAACAGCAACAUCAACCAACUGCUUUUCUCAAUGUCACCAAGGAUCAAUGAUUUUGCUUGGAUAGGGCUCUAUGAUGAUCGUUACAGCUGGAAGUGGUCCAUGGAGGGAAAACUUUUUUAUGUUGGCAGUACACAUAAAUUAUUGACCUGGGCUAACGGCCAACCAGACUGUGUAAAUGCAAAGGAAUACUGUGUGGCUCUUCAGGGACAAACACAGAUGAAUGAUAGACCCUGUGGAGAUUCUUACCCUUUCCUGUGUUACAAUGGUAGGAAAAAAGAUUUGUUGCCAUAGUUAUCCUACAAUUUUAUGAGAUUCAGAAUGUGUGUUUCAAUCCUUUUUCGCAGCCAAAAACACAAGUUACAUCUUAGUGAUGGAGAACCAAACCUGGUCAGCGGCUCAGUCGUACUGCAGGACAUACCACACAGACCUGAUCAGUAUAAAAAGCAAAGAGGAGAAAUCCAACAUCACGCUCACUUUGAAUGGAUCAGGGGUUCAGUAUGUGUGGAUUGGUCUCUACAGGGAUCCCUGGUCCUUCUGGUCUGACAACACAACCUCCACAUACACUAACUGGAUGUCUUCUCAGCCUAAUAAUGGAAAUUCAGUUGAAUACUGUGGAGAUUUGAAUUUAAAGACAGGGGAAUUGAAUGAUGCCAACUGUGCCGUCAGACUCUAUUUUUUCUGUUUCACAGGUGAGGUCCAGAAUGCAAACACUGUAAGAUCCUGUCAUCAUGUAAAACACUAAUGUUUGUGUUUUUAUAUGUGGUUCAUUUUUAGCAGUGACAAAGCAAACAGUGGUGAAAAUGAAGCUUCAGUCAGAGGCAGACAUGCACAGCACAGAGAUCCAGCAGCAGGUUUCACAGCAGCUGUCAGGCCUCAUGCUGUCAGAAGGACUGACAGACUUCAGGAUUCGUUGGAGGAAAGUCCAGAGUUACCGUGACGACCAGUUGAAGAACCAGGAUGUGGACGGUGGCUGCAAAACUGAAGUCUGACUGGACUGAACCACUUCAUGUGUGAAGUUAAUAACAUGCUGUGCUGAGCUGUCUCAUCCUUUAAAUCUUUCAAUAUUUCAGAGUGUAAAGUUCCACCAACAGCUCAUUUGUUCAGCUGCAGUUGUAUUUUGGUAGAAAUUAUUUUACUGAUUCAUCUUGAAAUUUUUAUGAUAAGCUUGGAUUCAUCAUUAUUGUCCUUCUAUGUAAGAGACCACAUAGGCUUUGUCUUUAUGCAGUUUAUUGAGAUCCAUAGUUCUGUUUCACUGUGGCAGAAACCUCUGCUGACUUAUUAAAGUGUGGACAACAAGCAACAAAACAUUGCUUCGUUUAUGUCCAGUUUCUGCUUAGACUGUUUGAUACCCAUAACAAUGGCAGCCAUAAAUGGGACCAUAAGUGUCCCAAACCUUGCCUAAUUUAAAUUUGAAUGAUCACUUUCAAGAGACAGUUAAAGAUCCAAAAGCCUUAUUUUUAUGUAUUUUUAUGCAUUCAACACAGUUGGAGGGUCCCAAAAUGAAUGAAAUAAGAACAUCAUUAAUAGUUAAUUAAAUGUUUUGUUAAAUAAUUAAUUUGGAAUGAAUUAAUAAAGUACACUACCGGUCAAAAGUUUUAGAACACCCCAAUUUUUUCAGUUUUUUCUUGAAAAUUAUGCAGUUUAAUGAGUCAUGCCACUUUAGUACAAAUAAGCAAUUGUAGUUAAAAAACGAAAUCAUGGAAUCAAUUUAUAGACCAAAAUGUAUUCUAAGCUUCUGACGCAUCAAAGUCGCCACCUUUGGUAGAUGUAACACCGAACAUUCCUGUGGCAUGAUUUCUAAACAGAAAUCAAAUAUUCUUCAGAAAGUUCUUCCCAUAUCUGUUCCAGAAGUUCCCAUAAAUGUUGACACUUGUAGGUUGCUUUGCUUUCACUCCAUGUUUUAAAGCGUAUCGUCCUGUUCUUUUUUCCUAAGGCAGUUCUGGCCUAGCUUAGACUAAUGUUUUGGGUCAUUAUCUUGCUGUAGGGUGAACACCUGAUCAACUAGGCACAUACCAGCAGGUACUGCAUGGUCAUGCAGAAUUCUGUGGUAGUCAUCUUAGUUCAGAGUGCCUCUCACUCCGUACAAGUCACCGAUUCAAGAUCCAGCAAAACAGCCCCAGA